rnacentral:rRNA from 1 species
GUUCUCCCCGAAAGCUAUUUAGGUAGCGCCUCGUGAAUUCAUCUCCGGGGGUAGAGCACUGUUUCGGCAAGGGGGUCAUCCCGACUUACCAACCCGAUGCAAACUGCGAAUACCGGAGAAUGUUAUCACGGGAGACACACGGCGGGUGCUAACGUCCGUCGUGAAGAGGGAAACAACCCAGACCGCCAGCUAAGGUCCCAAAGUCAUGGUUAAGUGGGAAACGAUGUGGGAAGGCCCAGACAGCCAGGAUGUUGGCUUAGAAGCAGCCAUCAUUUAAAGAAAGCGUAAUAGCUCACUGGUCGAGUCGGCCUGCGCGGAAGAUGUAACGGGGCUAAACCAUGCACCGAAGCUGCGGCAGCGACACUAUGUGUUGUUGGGUAGGGGAGCG